rnacentral:lncRNA from 1 species
ACUGAGUUAUUUUUAAAGAAUACGAAAUUAGUUUUAAAUUAUAGACUCAAUUACAAGAAAAGUCAAUUUGGAUUAGGACUUGAUCCUUGUUAUUCAAAGAGAUGAGUUUGCAAAAGAUCACACAGCACAGACAGAAUCUUUAUUUGUAUUUAUUCAUGUAACUGUGCAUUCUUUGAUUCCAGAUUGUGAGCAUCAUGGCUCUGUAGAGGUGGUUAGUGAGAACAAGAAAGCCACAAAAGUUGUUUAAGCCAUGAAUCCCCUAAUUUCCUUGACUUUAAUUACUAAUAUGGUUAUAGGAAAACAGGGCAGAAAAAAAAAUUCAUUUUUAUAGGCUCUUCCAUAAAGCAGUAUGGAUGCCUCUUGUUAAUCCCCUCAAAUAAGGAAUAUUGCACAUACUAAACAUUUUCUAUUAAGCCUGUUGAAUCAGUAUAGGGGAUAUUUAAUGUAAAGAAGUAAUGUACCAAUCUACAACUAUCCCUUCCUUCAAAAUCUGGCUCAUUAUUUAACCUUUCUCAUAAACUUUGUUUGGCUAACCUCAACCUAUAAACAGUACUUGCUUGUUUUGUUUCUUGAACUCAUUUAUACUACAUUUUCAUUGUUAUCCUUACUUUUCAUUGGUAUCUUUCUCUCCAUUGUGUGCUUACUGUAGCUCAAUCAUGACUUCUAUGAUGGAAGAAACCCAUCUUUGACUCCCAUUACAAUUCCCCAAGGUGCCGCCUGGCACGGUGCUAUACUUAUGGCAGAUGCUUAAGUUCUGUUAAAACAAAUGAAUAUGGAAAAUUUCUGGGGAAAGAGAGUUUCACACUGUUUUGGAAAUUUUCCUCUAGCAAUCCUAAAACUGAGUUUCAUGUAACUGUCCCAAUUUGAAUUCAGGAAUGCUAGGAUUAGAAAGCCAAUAAUAUGAGUUUAAGAAAUUCUUUAAUGUUUCUUCAAAGUAACACACACAUAUGCGCACACACACACACACACACACACACACGCGUGCGCGCCAAAAUGGAUCACUAAAUAUUAGUCUAGCUUUUGUUUAGACUGUGUAAAUGAGAUUUUUCAUUUUAGCCAAAGAUUGUAGGUGGUUCAGAAUCCAUCAGAAAAGAAUUAGUUCUGUGAAUCAGAAAAAGAUCAAUAUCUAAUUUACACUUUAAUUAAUCUAGUAAGCCCUUUAACACAACAUAGGACAAAGGACCAAGUAAAAUACCUGUUUGCUUUAAGAUUAAACAUUUUUUUAAAUGUGUCCCAAAGUUGAUUACAUAUGAAAUGUUGCCCAAAGAGAGAAUGCUCUGAGAUCUCUUUUUACUUUUCCUUGCAGACCAGUAGGAAAGGAAGAA